ACAUGCCUACAUCAUAGCAUUAAUGCAUUGGAUCCCAUUAGAUAUCUGGAGUUAAGUGAUCUCGGGAUAGAGUAAUACUGGGAUGGGUGACCACCUAAGAAGUCCUAGUGUUUUACAUGCA
rfam:Picea glauca, whole genome shotgun sequence.